GAUGAAGAACGUAGCGAAAUGCGAUAAGUAAUGUGAAUUGCAGAAUUCAGUGAAUCAUCGAAUCUUUGAACGCACAUUGCGCCCCCUGGUAUUCCGGGGGGCAUGCCUGUCCGAGCGUCAUUACAACCCUCAAGCUCAGCUUGGUGUUGGGCCCCGCCGCCCCGGCGGGCCCUAAAGUCAGUGGCGGUGCCGUCCGGCUCCGAGCGUAGUAAUUCUUCUCGCUCUGGAGGUCCGGUCGUGUGCUCGCCAGCAACCCCCAAUUUUUUUCAGGUUGACCUCGGAUCAGGUAGGGAUACCCGCUGAACUUAAGCAUAUCAAUAAGCGGAGGC
rnacentral:misc_RNA from 1 species